CAAAUAUGUAUGCUUUAUUAUGCUUUAUGACACACAAAGUAAUCAAAUCUGCUGCGUCCCAGAAGAACAGCACAACACAUUCAUAUGGGUGAUGAUCAGGGUGAUGAUGUGAGUUAAAACAUCAGCCUAUAAUAUAUUAUCCAGUUAAUGAUGCACACACACGCCUGUUGUCUGAAGAGGUGCGUUUGUUUUUUGAGCAUUGAUUGUUCUUUGAGUAAGUGGAGACACAUUGGUUGUUUUUCACUGAUCAGAGUGGAUCAGAGAUUACAGCGUCUCCCCCACCAUUGAUUAAGAGGGGCCCCCGGCCCCCACCAAGCGCCACCCCCACCUCCCCAAGAAAGGAAAAUGAAAUUUUCACUCCUACAAUUGUCCACUCCUCGCUGCGCACGCCAACCCUAUUGAAAGCUACUUUAGUUAAACGAAAGGCCAAUCUCACGUCAGCUCCUACUUACUAAAAACACUGACCUCAAACGCAGAUUUCCAAUCUCUGCGCAGCAGCUGCACGAGAGUUUGAACCAAAUGUAGGAAAAAGGCGCACUAGACGGGAUCUGGCGCGAUUAAAAGGUCAGCGCAUUCUUUAACGCAUUGUAAAGCUGCAAUAUUGUAUAACCUUGUCAGUCAUGUCUUCUGCUUUUAGGUUUAUCUUAUCUUUGUCUUGGGACUACAGAUGAAAAAAACUGCACUAAAGAAAUGUUAUUUGUUCCGUCCCGUAUCAAAUAAACUAAUAAAAUGAAUAUGCAACAGAGGGAGUGGGGGGCACCGAAAAGCCAUGAGAACAUCAGAUUUGUUUGUUUUGUUAUGUGUGAGAAUAGCUCUCUGGCUGCGGGACUUGUUUGAAGCGUGUUUGUUGUUGUUGUUUUGUCAAGUAAUCAAGCCAAGGUUUUGCAUGUGUGUCUGUGUUGAUUUUUUUUAACUUGAGUGUGCGCACCGUGUUUGAGAACUCAAUGUGGUUGUUGAAGAUUGUUAUCAAAUUGUCACCCAUGAUUACACUGAAACUCGUCGUUGCUUCAUCUAUGUUCUCUCACACACACACACACACACACACACAGGAUGUCGCGUCUGAACAACAGAACAUACCACUGGCAGCCCAGUUAGCCCUAAAGCUAUAAAGCAGGGGAGCUGAAUGAUGGGCCAUGCAGCUAUUGACAGGGACCCUCUCUAAAUGUUCACAUGCUCUAAUUGCCUUUAGUCAUGCUGCUACACGCGCCGCUGUUUAAGUUACUGUUGUAAGUUGUGAAUUAAUAUGGAGUACGAAAUAUUUAAGAUGCAGCUUGUGCUUAGUUACUUUUGAAUGAUUG
ensembl:lncRNA